GACGAACGCUGGCGGCGUGCUUAACACAUGCAAGUCGAACGGAAAGGCCCUGCUUUUGUGGGGUGCUCGAGUGGCGAACGGGUGAGUAACACGUGAGUAACCUGCCCUUGACUUUGGGAUAACUUCAGGAAACUGGGGCUAAUACCGGAUAGGAGCUCCUGCUGCAUGGUGGGGGUUGGAAAGUUUCGGCGGUUGGGGAUGGACUCGCGGCUUAUCAGCUUGUUGGUGGGGUAGUGGCUUACCAAGGCUUGGACGGGUAGCCGGCCUGAGAGGGUGACCGGCCACAUUGGGACUGAGGUACGGCCCAGACUCCUACGGGAGGAAGCAGUGGGGAAUAUUGCACAAUGGGCGGAAGCCUGAUGCAGCAACGCCGCGUGCGGGAUGACGGCCUUCGGGUUGUAAACCGCUUUCGCCUGUGACGAAGCGUGAGUGACGGUAAUGGGUAAAGAAGCACCGGCUAACUACGUG
rnacentral:rRNA from 1 species